rnacentral:tRNA from 1 species
GGACGCGUAGCUCAGCUGGUUAGAGCGUCUCGUUGACGUCGAGAAGGUCCUCAGUUCGAAUCUGAGCGCGUCCA